UGGGGAAUAUUGGACAAUGGGGGAAACCCUGAUCCAGCAAUGCCGCGUGUGUGAAGAAGGCCUGCGGGUUGUAAAGCACUUUCAGUAGGGAAGAUAAUGACGGUACCUACAAAAGAAGCACCGGCUAACUCCGUGCCAGCAGCCGCGGUAAUACGGAGGGUGCGAGCGUUAAUCGGAAUUACUGGGCGUAAAGCGCACGUAGGUGGUUUGGUAAGUCGGAUGUGAAAUCCCAGGGCUCAACCUUGGAAUUGCAUUCGAUACUGCCUCACUAGAGUCUAGCAGAGGGAUGGGGAAUUCCGGGUGUAGCGGUGAAAUGCGUAGAGAUCCGGAGGAACAUCAGUGGCGAAGGCGCCAUCCUGGGCUAAGACUGACACUGAGGUGCGAAAGCGUGGGGAGCAAACAGG
rnacentral:rRNA from 1 species